rnacentral:rRNA from 1 species
GACGAACGCUGGCGGCGCGCUUAACACAUGCAAGUCGAGCGAAGCGGCGGACGGGUGAGUAACACGUGAGUAACCUGCCUUUGACAUUGGCAUAGCCUCGGGCAACCGGGAUUAAUACCAAAUGGUCUAAGAUGGACUCGCGUCCCAUUAGCUAGUUCGUGAGGUAACGUCCCACCAAGGCGACGACGGGUAGCCGGCAUGAGAGAGUGGACGGCCACAUUGAAACUGAGAAACAGUCCAAACUCUGCGGGAGGCAGCAGUGGGGAAUAUUGCACAAUGGAGGGAACUCUGAUGCAGCGACGCCGCGUGAACAAAGAAGGCUUUCGAGUAGUAAAGUUCUUUUAUAUGGGAAGCGGUACCAUAAGAAAAAGCCCCGGCUAACUACGUGCCAGCAGCCGCGGUAAUAC